ACGACGCACGUACGUGUAAUAAUAAUUGGACGUGUACAGUAUCGCCCCGCAGUCGUUUUGCCGUUGUGCACACCAUUCAAUUAGUGCGCGCUUGUGUGUGCAACUGCACCGACCGACCGACCGACCGAAAACAACACCGCGAGUCCGACUCGGUCCGGUUCGCGCGAGAUUUAUUUAUCGUAUUUUUUUUUACCCCUUCCCGCCCCGACCACGACUACUACCACCACCACCACCACCACCACCUCCUCCUAUUCCUCGAUCGACGACGGUUCGCCAGUCGCGCCGCCGUCGUCGUCCCGUCAUCGGGCGCCACGAUAUAUUUUCUCCGUCUACGCCGCAACGAGUACGCGUUUGUUAUAUAUUAUAAUAUGCGUGGCGUACAGGUAUACACACACACACACACACACACAGAUGGGUUGACGUGCGUUUUUCGAAUCAUUUUUUUUUUCGUUUCGUUUCGUUUCGUUUUUUAUAUAAUACACGUAUACGUAAUAAUAUAUACGUUCGUUUCGUUACUACGCCGAGGGGAAAAAAUCAAUUUUAUUCCGUUAAAACGCGCGACCGGCGAGGUCUUCAUUUAAAUACAAUGGGGCGCAUUAACAUUUUUACCCGCACACGGCACACCACACGGAGACAGACAACACACACACACACACACGCGCUAGCACGCGUAGAUGUCUAUCUCCGGCGCGGCCGAUGGCUGCUGCUGCAAUAUAAAGAAGCCAGCGGCACCGACGACAAUAUUUUUAUCCAACGCAAAAAAUCAUUCGGUGUGAAUGAGUCCUUCGCCUAUAUGGCACAGCAGCAGCAGAAACGGCGAUAUUCCGGUUUUUCCUGGUUUUUUUUUUAUUUUUUUUAAUUAACCAGAAUACGCUUCGUGUUUUUAUUAUAUUAUGGUAGCCGUGGACAAUUAACCUGAAAUUCUUCAUUGUUGGCCCCUAGAUAUAUAUUAUAUAUAUAUAUACCUAUGAUGGUUUUACGACCGUUUCUAGCUGUUGUUUUAUUUUCCGGCGAGUUCGUUUGUGUGUGUUUUUUUUAUUUUGGAAAUAAAUGUACACAUUCUUCAUUUU